rnacentral:rRNA from 1 species
AUUGAACGCUGGCGGCAGGCCUAACACAUGCAAGUCGAGCGGAUGAAGGGAGCUUGCUCCUGGAUUCAGCGGCGGACGGGUGAGUAAUGCCUAGGAAUCUGCCUGGUAGUGGGGGAUAACGUCCGGAAACGGGCGCUAAUACCGCAUACGUCCUGAGGGAGAAAGUGGGGGUUCUUCGGACCUCACGCUAUCAGAUGAGCCUAGGUCGGAUUAGCUAGUUGGUGGGGUAAAGGCCUACCAAGGCGACGAUCCGUAACUGGUCUGAGAGGAGGAUCAGUCACACUGGAACUGAGACACGGUCCAGACUCCUACGGGAGGCAGCAGUGGGGAAUAUUGGACAAUGGGCGAAAGCCUGAUCCAGCCAUGCCGCGUGUGUGAAGAAGGUCUUCGGAUUGUAAAGCACUUUAAGUUGGGAGGAAGGGCAGUAAGUUAAUACCUUGCUGUUUUGACGUUACCAACAGAAUAAGCACCGGCUAACUUCGUG